rnacentral:tRNA from 1 species
AAGAUUUUAAGUUAAAAAAACUAUUAAUCUUCAAAAUUAAUUAUAUAAAUUAAUUUAUAAAUCUUA